GCCGGGAUGGCGGAAUAGGCAGACGCAGCAGACUUAAAAUCUGCCGAGAUAUAAUCUCGUGAGGGUUCGAGUCCCUCUCCCGGCACCA
rnacentral:tRNA from 1 species